rnacentral:lncRNA from 1 species
CUUUAAGGCCAGACAGAAUCUUGGGAAGGUUGCUGGUUGGAAUUCUGGGUUGCCUGAGUCAGUUGGUUUUCUAACUGCCAAGGAGUCCUGGACGUUUUUUUUCCUAGGUGGAGGUUGGCAUUUUGUUCCUUGGAACACUGAAAAAUCCCAGUGGUAGAUGAAGGAGAAGAACAGUGUUGGAAUGCAUAAUUUAUUGAUCGUUUUACAGAUGGAGACAUGGAUAUUUCAAUAUAUUGAAAGGUUAUAUCUGAUUGAAAAAAACACAGAAAACAAAAUUACCUUCUGAAGAUCAGAAGUGGAGACCAGGAGAAGCUAGUUAAUGGGAGAAGGAAGCUGGAGAUUUGAGAGGAUGCUCUAGGUUGGAGGUUCCAGACACAAUUUAAAGAUUCAGGGUGAAAUCACAAUGUAGAUAGUUAGCAGAAUUCAGAAAGCCAAAAAUCUAUUAAACUUUGAUAGUUCAAAU